GUAAUGUGAUGGGGGAUAGAAUACAUCUUCAUCAAUCAAAUGACCAGAUGGAAGCGAUAUCGUUACAUUAUACAUAAAGGUAUUUCCCCGAUAGGACCCCCGGUGCUGUAAUGACGUCACUAUUUAGCUCAGGUCGACGAGCGGCCCUGAUGACGCGUCCAUGAUGGCCGCCAGGCCCCUGAGCUGUAACUUCUGCUGCCCGACUGUUCGUGACGAUGGAGACCUGAUGGAAGAAAGGAGACUGACUGAUGGCGUUUCUAUCCGUCGUUAAAGAGCUGCACUUCCUUGUGUUGACCACUAGGGGUCGCCCUCCAUCCAUCACAUGGGAUCAUGCUGCUGUGCGGGGAUGACGUGUUUAUGUGCUUAAAAGAUCUAAACUGAAUCAUGCAACACAUGAACAGUGAACUCUAGUCUGCACCUGAAGAAAGGCUCUUUACUUGAAAAUGUUGGAGGAGCAGCUGGAGAACAACAAGGUUCAAGACAAGCGGACGGAGGACGAAAUGAACAAAGCUGCUGAAUGAGCAGAGACACUUGAAGGUCUUGGAGGAGACGAGGAGGAUGGAGGAACAUUUGGGCGCAGUUUCCAGACCUGAGGACGGCAGGUUUCUUCUUCUGCUCUGCGGUUACUCUGAGAAGUAACUUUGACAGUUUGGGGGUGGUUCAGCUUUUGUCAAAUGUUUGCUGUGCAGCUGAAUUUUAAUAAAGAAUAAUUUGGUAUAACCCCCUGCGUGUGUCUCAUUGAAAGCCCGGGAGGAGACGGACGUCUCUACUCUACCGGGGCGAUGCACACUGAUGAUCCCACAGCGGUGGGAAUCGAACCCGGGUCUGACGCCACCCAAACCGGGGACAGCGCAACCACGCCACCAUGUCAUUCGCCCUUAAUCAUGUUUGUUUGUUGCCUUUGACUUCUUCAUGUGACGAACAACCUCAAAA